rnacentral:lncRNA from 1 species
UAUUUGAUAUCUAUCAAAUCAAAUCAAAUAUUACCAAACUCAAAACUAAUAAAAUAAUAAAUUUCUAAAUUUAAGUUUAUCCCAACAAACUCCCCCAUAAACAUAAAUUCUUCCUUUGUUCUCCCUUUAUUCUUCUCUCAUUCAUUCUCUCUUCUUCAUUCUUCUCUCAGGAUCGUCUAUGGCCUUGAGUGUUCCGAACUUCUCCACUCUUCAGAGUUUGAAACCAAUCUUGCUUAAGAGUUCUCCCUCGAACGCGUGCGUCAUUCUCUUCUACGUGUGCGACGCAAGUCUCCCUUGUACGCUACGCGUCUUCAACGCACUCCAAUUCACCUCUCAUGAUUCAUCCGGCG